GUAAGGCCUCGCGCGAUUAGAGCGGCCGAUAUCUGAUUAGUCUUGUUGGGUAGGGGGUAAAGGCCCUACCAAGGCUACGAUCUGUAGUUGGUCUGAGAGGACGACCAGCCACACUGGGACUGAGACACGGCCCAGACUCCUACGGGAGGCAGCAGUGGGGAAUUUUGGACAAUGGGCGCAAGUCUGAUCCAGCCAUUCCGCGUGCAGGAUGAAGGCCCUCGGGUUGUAAACUGCUUUUGUACGGAACGAAAAGGUUUCCAUUAAUACUGGGAGCUCAUGACGGUACCGUAAGAAUAAGCACCGGCUAACUACGUG
rnacentral:rRNA from 1 species